GGUAGAGUGGCUGAAUUUAGGCAAUAAAUUGUAAAUUUAUUUAUAAGAUUUAUAAUCUUCUUUAUUA
rnacentral:tRNA from 1 species